GGAAUAUUGGACAAUGGGCGCAAGCCUGAUCCAGCAAUGCCGCGUGAGUGAUGAAGGCCUUCGGGUUGUAAAGCUCUUUCGCCCACGACGAUGAUGACGGUAGUGGGAGAAGAAGCCCCGGCUAACUUCGUGCCAGCAGCCGCGGUAAUACGAAGGGGGCUAGCGUUGUUCGGAAUGACUGGGCGUAAAGGGCGCGUAGGCGGCGCAUCAAGUCGGGCGUGAAAGCCCCGGGCUCAACCUGGGAACUGCGUUCGAGACUGGUGUGCUGGAGUUCGGGAGAGGAGAGUGGAAUUCCCAGUGUAGAGGUGAAAUUCGUAGAUAUUGGGAAGAACACCGAUGGCGAAGGCAGCUCUCUGGACCGAUACUGACGCUGAGGCGCGAAAGCGUGGGGAGCAAAC
rnacentral:rRNA from 1 species